rnacentral:rRNA from 1 species
GACGAACGCUGGCGGCGUGCUUAACACAUGCAAGUCGAACGAGUGGCGAACGGGUGAGUAAUACGUGGGUAACCUGCCCUCUCUUUGGGAUAAGCCUUGGAAACGGGGGCUAAUACCGACUAAGGGGGGAGGGGCUCGCGGGUGAUCAGCUUGUUGGGGGGGUGAUGGCCUACCAAGGCGGUGACGGGUAGCCGGCCGGAGAGGGUGACGGGGCAUGUGGGGCGUCCGAUACGGCCCAGACGCCCACGGGAGGGAGCAGUGGGGGAUAGUGCACAAGGGGCGAAAGCCUGCUGCGGCGACGUCGCGAGGGGGUUGAAGGCUUUCGGGUUGUAAACCUCUGUCGCUAUCGAACGGGUAGGUGGCGAAGAAGCGCCGGCUAACUACGUGCCAGCAGCCGCGGUAAUUC